CUGUUCGAGCGUCAUUAUAACCAAUCCAGCCUGGCUGGGUGUUGGGCCUCGCCGUCUGGCGGGCCUUAAAGCUAGUGGCGGUGCUCUCAGGCUCUACGCGUAGUAAUUUUCUCGCUAUAGAGCCCUGGGAGAUGCUUGCCAGCAACCCCUAAUUUUUUCAGGUUGACCUCGGAUCAGGUAGGGAUACCCGCUGAACUUAA
rnacentral:misc_RNA from 1 species